GGUUAAGCGACUAAGCGUACACGGUGGAUGCCCUGGCAGUCAGAGGCGAUGAAGGACGUGCUAAUCUGCGAUAAGCGUCGGUAAGGUGAUAUGAACCGUUAUAACCGGCGAUUUCCGAAUGGGGAAACCCAGUGUGUUUCGACACACUAUCAUUAACUGAAUCCAUAGGUUAAUGAGGCGAACCGGGGGAACUGAAACAUCUAAGUACCCCGAGGAAAAGAAAUCAACCGAGAUUCCCCCAGUAGCGGCGAGCGAACGGGGAGGAGCCCAGAGCCUGAAUCAGUGUGUGUGUUAGUGGAAGCGUCUGGAAAGGCGCGCGAUACAGGGUGACAGCCCCGUACACAAAAAUGCACAUAUUGUGAGCUCGAUGAGUAGGGCGGGACACGUGGUAUCCUGUCUGAAUAUGGGGGGACCAUCCUCCAAGGCUAAAUACUCCUGACUGACCGAUAGUGAACCAGUACCGUGAGGGAAAGGCGAAAAGAACCCCGGCGAGGGGAGUGAAAAAGAACCUGAAACCGUGUACGUACAAGCAGUGGGAGCACGCUUAGGCGUGUGACUGCGUACCUUUUGUAUAAUGGGUCAGCGACUUAUAUUCUGUAGCAAGGUUAACCGAAUAGGGGAGCCGAAGGGAAACCGAGUCUUAACUGGGCGUUAAGUUGCAGGGUAUAGACCCGAAACCCGGUGAUCUAGCCAUGGGCAGGUUGAAGGUUGGGUAACACUAACUGGAGGACCGAACCGACUAAUGUUGAAAAAUUAGCGGAUGACUUGUGGCUGGGGGUGAAAGGCCAAUCAAACCGGGAGAUAGCUGGUUCUCCCCGAAAGCUAUUUAGGUAGCGCCUCGUGAAUUCAUCUCCGGGGGUAGAGCACUGUUUCGGCAAGGGGGUCAUCCCGACUUACCAACCCGAUGCAAACUGCGAAUACCGGAGAAUGUUAUCACGGGAGACACACGGCGGGUGCUAACGUCCGUCGUGAAGAGGGAAACAACCCAGACCGCCAGCUAAGGUCCCAAAGUCAUGGUUAAGUGGGAAACGAUGUGGGAAGGCCCAGACAGCCAGGAUGUUGGCUUAGAAGCAGCCAUCAUUUAAAGAAAGCGUAAUAGCUCACUGGUCGAGUCGGCCUGCGCGGAAGAUGUAACGGGGCUAAACCAUGCACCGAAGCUGCGGCAGCGACGCUGAUGCGUUGUUGGGUAGGGGAGCGUUCUGUAAGCCUGCGAAGGUGUACUGUGAGGUAUGCUGGAGGUAUCAGAAGUGCGAAUGCUGACAUAAGUAACGAUAAAGCGGGUGAAAAGCCCGCUCGCCGGAAGACCAAGGGUUCCUGUCCAACGUUAAUCGGGGCAGGGUGAGUCGACCCCUAAGGCGAGGCCGAAAGGCGUAGUCGAUGGGAAACAGGUUAAUAUUCCUGUACUUGGUGUUACUGCGAAGGGGGGACGGAGAAGGCUAUGUUGGCCGGGCGACGGUUGUCCCGGUUUAAGCGUGUAGGCUGGUUUUCCAGGCAAAUCCGGAAAAUCAAGGCUGAGGCGUGAUGACGAGGCACUACGGUGCUGAAGUAACAAAUGCCCUGCUUCCAGGAAAAGCCUCUAAGCAUCAGGUAACAUCAAAUCGUACCCCAAACCGACACAGGUGGUCAGGUAGAGAAUACCAAGGCGCUUGAGAGAACUCGGGUGAAGGAACUAGGCAAAAUGGUGCCGUAACUUCGGGAGAAGGCACGCUGAUAUGUAGGUGAAGCGACUUGCUCGUGGAGCUGAAAUCAGUCGAAGAUACCAGCUGGCUGCAACUGUUUAUUAAAAACACAGCACUGUGCAAACACGAAAGUGGACGUAUACGGUGUGACGCCUGCCCGGUGCCGGAAGGUUAAUUGAUGGGGUUAGCGGUAACGCGAAGCUCUUGAUCGAAGCCCCGGUAAACGGCGGCCGUAACUAUAACGGUCCUAAGGUAGCGAAAUUCCUUGUCGGGUAAGUUCCGACCUGCACGAAUGGCGUAAUGAUGGCCAGGCUGUCUCCACCCGAGACUCAGUGAAAUUGAACUCGCUGUGAAGAUGCAGUGUACCCGCGGCAAGACGGAAAGACCCCGUGAACCUUUACUAUAGCUUGACACUGAACAUUGAGCCUUGAUGUGUAGGAUAGGUGGGAGGCUUAGAAGUGUGGACGCCAGUCUGCAUGGAGCCGACCUUGAAAUACCACCCUUUAAUGUUUGAUGUUCUAACGUUGGCCCCUAAUCGGGGUUGCGGACAGUGUCUGGUGGGUAGUUUGACUGGGGCGGUCUCCUCCUAAAGAGUAACGGAGGAGCACGAAGGUUGGCUAAUCCUGGUCGGACAUCAGGAGGUUAGUGCAAUGGCAUAAGCCAGCUUGACUGCGAGCGUGACGGCGCGAGCAGGUGCGAAAGCAGGUCAUAGUGAUCCGGUGGUUCUGAAUGGAAGGGCCAUCGCUCAACGGAUAAAAGGUACUCCGGGGAUAACAGGCUGAUACCGCCCAAGAGUUCAUAUCGACGGCGGUGUUUGGCACCUCGAUGUCGGCUCAUCACAUCCUGGGGCUGAAGUAGGUCCCAAGGGUAUGGCUGUUCGCCAUUUAAAGUGGUACGCGAGCUGGGUUUAGAACGUCGUGAGACAGUUCGGUCCCUAUCUGCCGUGGGCGCUGGAGAACUGAGGGGGGCUGCUCCUAGUACGAGAGGACCGGAGUGGACGCAUCACUGGUGUUCGGGUUGUCAUGCCAAUGGCACUGCCCGGUAGCUAAAUGCGGAAGAGAUAAGUGCUGAAAGCAUCUAAGCACGAAACUUGCCCCGAGAUGAGUUCUCCCUGACCCUUUAAGGGUCCUGAAGGAACGUUGAAGACGACGACGUUGAUAGGCCGGGUGUGUAAGCGCAGCGAUGCGUUGAGCUAACCGGUACUAAUGAACCGUGAGGCUUAACCUU
rnacentral:rRNA from 1 species